rnacentral:RNase_P_RNA from 1 species
ACACCUGGCGGGGGAAACCCUAGGGAUAGUGCCACAGAAAAUAUACCGCCAUAACAUGGCAAGGGUGAAAAGGUGUGGUAAGAGCACACCGGUUCUAUUGGUAACAAUGAACGCUGGAAAACCCCACUGGGAGCAAGACUAAGUAGAGAUGACAUUGUUGCAAAACUAAAAGCCGUCUUUGGCUAGUCAUCAGGGUUAGUUGCUUGAGCUUAAGAGUGAUCUUAAGCCUAGAGAAAUGAUAAGUUUUAAUGACAGAACCCGGCUUAUAGUUCGUCUAGCAAA